rfam:Ixodes scapularis strain Wikel colony gcontig_1108379643284, whole genome shotgun sequence.
UCUUGGUUAGCUAAGUUGGUAGAGCCCUCCACUGAAAAUGGAGAAGUCCCUGGUUCGAUACCAGGACCAUGCG